rnacentral:misc_RNA from 1 species
AAGUCGUAACAAGGUUUCCGUAGGUGAACCUGCGGAAGGAUCAUUAUCAAAACGUAUCCACGUAUAAACCAAAAACUAUAUACAUAGUAAUAUGUAUGUUGUGUGAAUCGUUAUGUUAUCAGCCUUUGAUAAUUAGUUGAUUGCUGUAUAAUUUUCUAUUUUGAUUAAGGAAAUUAUAUGGACUUGGAUUUUGAGUUUAUUCUCUCUUUCCUAGCUCUAAUUAUCGAAGUGUAUUCUUAAUCAAACUUAUUAACCACUUGAACCGAAUAACAUUAGUUAUUCAUUUUUUAUUUGUGAACUGAAUUGUUUCUUACUCUCUUGUAACAAAGAGAGAAGGAAUUAUAUUUACGAAACAUAAAAAUUGAACAACUCUUAGCAACGGAUAUCUUGGUUCUC